CUGGGCCACCAUGGAAUUGGGAUGUGUAUGCCUGGUGUGGUGGAAAUUGGCCAAGAGAGCUGUGAGUGAGGGUGGGGCGGCCUGACAGGGUGCCAAGUUAAAAAUGGCACUUGGACAGCAGGUCAGAAAGUACUUGGGAGCAGUGUGGAACCGCUGAGAUAAAUUAGUGCUAGUUCCAAUGGCUGGCUAGAGCUGGAACUAGGGAGGGAGCAUGACCGCCAGGGUAGGGUGUGGGAACUGUUCUGCCUAUUUUAUAUUUUUAGUGCAACACUGUAGUCCUUGGUUCUGAUGAAGUAUGCUGGGGAUCACUGCAUUGUGACCUCAUUUUCCAGGGCAGUCUUGAUUUCCAACAUUCUGUUCUCAGAAUCGAAGUGUUUUAAGUUUUAGAAUACACUACCAUCCAAAUUAGAGCCUUUCUAGUUUUGAUGGAGUAUGUCCUUAGAACUGCUGGGUCCUUCAUCAUCAUAAAUCCAAACCUUCCCGGGAAGGAGUUGAGCAUGGUGCAACACACCUAUUACCUCAGCUUCCUGAAAGGCUGAGGAGGAGAAGCACAAGACUCGAGGAUGUUAAAAAAAAAAAGGUCAUUUCAGUUGCCUUUAGCUGCAACAGUUCUUGGUGGAAGGGUUUCUGUCCUGAGAUGUUCAACCUAAAGAGAUCUGCAUUACGAAAGGAAUCAGCCUGAGAAGAAAGCCUCUUGGGAUGAGUUACAAUUACUUUUCUCAAAGAUUACCUUUUGACAUAUCCUUUUGGUUUGGAGCAAAAAGGGAAGAAUCACCUGGGUAAUUAUGACAAUUCUUUACAUUUCUCAAAGGGGGUAUUUAUAUAAUUAAUAGAAAAACCUAACAUGAAGACAGCCUUCUCUUAUUCAAAGGAAAAGCUCUGUUGCUAUUACCCCAGAAGGAGUCACAGGAGGCAACAAGAAACCAGGCACUCAAUAGAGAUCAUCUGGGCUCUAGCAUGUGCAAAGACUGGCUUAAACAGACAUGCCUGUUCUAGGAACUUAGCCCUUGCCAAACCACACUUCUGGAAACAAAUCCUGUUGCUGGGCUUGCCGCUGAAAAGACAGUGCAAGAGGUGUAGGCGUGUUGAAUAGAAUUCUACACCAAGACAGAGCAGGCCUGCCAGCUCACAGGGCACACCAGAGACACAAAGCAUUCUUUUCUUACCCUGACCAUUCUCUUUUUUUUUAAAAAAAAAGUAAAUAGAAACUAAAGUGAGGGUGAAAAAACACUAUGAUAAAAUGUCGGAUAUCCGUAGACGUGGGGCAUUUCUAACCUGAGGUAGAUUCUUCUUUGGGUCUGCAUUUCUUAAAAUGAUUACUUGUUUUGAAAGGGAAGCCAGAGCGUCAGUGGGUUCAAACAAAGGGAAGGAAAACCACUCUAUCCCAUUCUUUGAAUAAAAUGUAUGUUUCCUAUAGUGGAAUUACUAUCUACUUAAUACAGGAAGACGAGGGAGCACCGAGAAGAGUAAAGAAGCCAAGGUAAACAGGUUGGUUUCAGUAUCUUCAAGUCAUCUGUGUAUGUUUCAGAGCAUCGCCUUCUGAUCUGUUCUACCAAAGAACAGCGUGAAAGGGAAGUUUCAAAACUCCCGGGUGACAGCCGGGUCUACAACCACCUGUGGCUAUUAGAAGCUCCUUACAGAAAAUGGUCAAUCGUACGUAAGCAUAUCACCCGUGUACAUACCCCCAUAUAUUUUAUACCAUGAAACCAUGUGCAUGUAAUGGAAGCAGUUCUGUCUUGUGUUGCUUAGGGGAUAAUCACAGAGAGAUUGGUACAUGACCUAGUACAGGGGAAGCUUUUCCCCCUUGGUUCUGAUCUGAUAUGGUUUGUUGACUCCAUGGAUACAAAGCCCACAGAAAUGGAAACCCAACUAUAGUCUGGUGCUAUAGAAGUAACAGAUGUAAACUAAAGGGUUUGAGAACACCUUUCCCAGCAUCAUAAGUAGCUGUGUGGUAGUUGGCAGUUACAGUGCUUAGUGGGGAAGACUGUACUGGGGCUUCUCAGUAGCGAUUUCUUUUCAUGCCUUUGAACACACAGAAAUCAUAGCCAACCCACUGGUGUGUGUUGAAACAUUUUCCAGUCCUUUAUCCAUAUAAGUAAGACAUUAGCACAUCUCACUUAGGAGACCUAAGCAGCCCCGGUGUGCAUUUGAGAGAAAAUGAACAAUAAGAAACUCAGUUAAAACAAUAAAGUUUAAAUACCGCGGCUAUCCGUGACUUCCUGACAUUAAGAAAGUAGAAUAUUCUUGCAACCAAGUUUGCUAACCUAGAAAUACAUGCCCAAAGGCUUUGCUUACUUCCAACUUUAUGAAUGAAUAAAAUUACUGCCUACCUUUUCUAAUUCUGGGCAUUCAAAAAGAGAAAACCAAACGAAACAAAAACUUGUGGCCAAGGUUUCGAUUAAAACUAUCUCUGUCCUUAAAAAACAAAACAAAACAAAAAAAAACAGUAACAAAAUGUCAUCUCCUUUGGUAGAUUCCUGGGAAGUUGAGUAAUUGUGAUCAAACUCAUCUUUAAAGUUGCUGUGGCGGUCAUGUGAUCUUGGAUCUUGGGUGUAGUUUACUCUCAAAUGCUCACCCGUGUGCUAAAAUCUUUGCCUCCAGCACGACUGGAAUGAUAUGGGUAGUGGUCCCCUUAAGAGGUGGAGCCUAAUGGGAGAUGAUUAAGUGGGGACUUUCCUAUGAGUCUCUUGAGUCUUGCUUUUCCUCCCUGUUUGCUUUCUCUGUUCCUUUGUUUUCUCCCCUCCUUUCUUUGGCCCUUCCCCUCCCUGUUUCUGCUAAGACACCACAUUACACUGCUAGACGUGCCCAGAGGCCAAGCAGAUCUCGAACUUUAACCUCCAAAACCAUAACUUAAGUUAUGUAGAAGUCUCUCCUUCGCUAAGCAACCAGCCUCUAGUAGUCUGUAGGUGACACAGAAGGGACUGAGGCAGGGUGUGUCAGGUAUUGGGAAUGUGAAGGUGGACAAACAGACCUGGAGAUAACAUUCUGAUUUUCUGUAAACGAACUAGGAAUAUCAUUUAAGUGGAUAUCUAUGAGCCCAAGGCUUUAGAUACUUUGUGUAUUACCUAUUUAGUUGAAAACAUUCAAUAGAACUCUCUAUAGAGAAACAAUAAGCCCUGAACGAAACUAAAGAAUAUGUAGAGAAGUUCUGGUUCAAAAGUCUUCAUGUCAGAAAAGCUGGAGUGGGGAGUGUAAUUAAGAGCCCAAUGCUUGUAUUUCUCGUGAUAAUUUCAAAGUCAGGAGUUUAACCAAAGUGGCUCUUUGAUUUGAAAAAAACUCUCAUAAAUUACAUCGGAGAACAGAAUCUGUGUGUGUAGCACGUGGAAAUGUCAUCAUUUAUAGAUCACAUGACCCCGGCUCUUCCUU
rnacentral:sRNA from 1 species